ACGUAGGGUGCGAGCGUUAAUCGGAAUUACUGGGCGUAAAGCGUGCGCAGGCGGAUAUAUAAGUCAGAUGUGAAAUCCCCGGGCUCAACCUGGGACCUGCAUUUGAGACUGUAUAGCUAGAGUACGGUAGAGGGGGAUGGAAUUCCGCGUGUAGCAGUGAAAUGCGUAGAUAUGCGGAGGAACACCGAUGGCGAAGGCAAUCCCCUGGACCUGUACUGACGCUCAUGCACGAAAGCGUGGGGAGCAAACAGGAUUAGAUACCCUGGUAGUCCACGCCCUAAACGAUGUCAACUGGUUGUUGGACGGCUUGCUGUUCAGUAACGAAGCUAACGCGUGAAGUUGACCGCCUGGGGAGUACGGCCGCAAGGUUG
rnacentral:rRNA from 1 species